CCCGCUACAGAAACUUAAAGGAAUUGACGGGGCCGCACAAGCGGAGGAGCAUGUGGUUUAAUUCGAUGAUACGCGAGGAACUUACCUGGGCUCGAACGUAAGAUGACUGUAGGUGAAAGCUUACAUCUCUUCGGAGCAUUUUACGAGGUGCUGCAUGGUUGUCGUCAGCUCGUGCCGUGAGGUGUCGGGUUAAGUCCCAUAACGAGCGCAACCCCUACCUUUAGUUGCCAUCAGGUUAAGCUGGGGACUCUAAAGGAACUGCCUACGCAAGUAGUGAGGAAGGCGGGGAUGACGUCAAAUCAGCACGGCCCUUACGUCCAGGGCUACACACGUGCUACAAUGGCCGAUACAGAGGGCAGCUACCUGGUGACAGGAUGCAAAUCUCCAAAGUCGGUCUCAGUUCGGAUCGGAGUCUGCAACCCGACUCCGUGAAGUUGGAUUCGCUAGUAAUCGCGCAUCAGCCAUGGCGCGGUGAAUACGUUCCCGGGCCUU
rnacentral:rRNA from 1 species